UCCCUGGUUGCUCAGUUGGUAAAGAAUCUGCCUGCAAUGCAGGAAACCUAGGUUUGAUCCCUGGAUGGGGAA
rfam:Ovis aries breed Texel chromosome 6, whole genome shotgun sequence.